rnacentral:lncRNA from 10 species
GCAAGGCUGGAAACCGGAAGCUGCCCGUGCCGCGCCGCGCGUGCGCCAGAAAUCCAAUGACUUGUCAGCCAGAGUAACGGCUGUUGUCAGGUCUUCAGGGUCUCGAGGUAGACAUGAUCGCCAAGGCAGCUGAUUGUCCCAAGGAAUAAGUAUGAGCAAUGAGCACAGAGGGAAAAUCAUGAAACAUCUGAGGACCAUGAGAACUGCUAAAACAAUACGUAGAACUAGCUAUACCAGAGAAAGUCAAGUGAAUGGAUCAGACAAUAAGAAUUGAAAAUAAGCUUAAUAGAGCUUCAGAGAAAGAAGGGAGAAUGUUGGAAACACAAAGCACAAACAAGCAUUUGUGAAUUGGAUGUUGACAAAUAUUAAUGAAAUAACUCAAUGGAUGGGUUGAAUAUAGCUGGACAGUUCACUCAUGAACCGGAAGAUUAGAGCAAGGAAGGAACUAAGAAAUGGAAAGCAUGAAAGGAGAGUUAAGAAAUGUGGAAGGUAGAAGCAUAAAUAUUUUUCUAAUGGAAAUUCCAGAAGGGGAAAAAAAGAACAUGUGAAAGAAUUAUUGCUGAGAAUUUCCCAGAAUUGAAGACAUACUUUAGAAUGAAAAAGGCCAACUCUAACUUUGGGAUUUCUAGCUUCAGAGAAAUGAAAAUUUAGAAUGACCAAGGGGAGUGCACAGGAUUUUUUGGGCAGUGAAACUAUUCUGCAUGAUACUAUAAUGGUGGAUGCAUGCUAUUACACAUUUGUCAAAACCCAUUGAAUGUACAUCACUGAGAAUGAAGCCUAAUGUAUGCACUUUGGAUGAUUAUGAUGUGUCAAUGUAGGUUCAUCAGUUCUAACAAGUAGAACAUGCUGGUGCAGGAUGUUGAUAGGGAGGCUGUGCAUAUAUGGGGGAGGGGAUGAAAGGAACUGUGUACUUUCUGCUCGUUUUUGCUGUGCACCUAAAAUUGUUCUGAAAAAAAUCAAGUCUAUUAAGAAAACAAAGACAGUUUUUUAAAGCAUAAGAGCAUACUUGUUAUAAAAAUACAUGUAAUGCAGUGUAAUUUUAGAAUUCAAGGUCACAUAUUUCUGUAACACUUUUAUUCUUUCAUGCCUACAACUUUCAUGGAAUGGUCCAGUCAAAUAGGUUCCACAUAAUAGGAACCUUCAGUAAUACACCACUCACAUGUAGCAGAAGGACUUUAAAACAGUAUAUUCCCAACUCUUCUAUUCAUUGUGCCAAUGUUGCCAUAUAUUUCACUUUUACAAAUGCUGUAAACAUACAAUACUUGUGCUAUUUUUGCUUUCGAUAGUUGCCUUUUACAGCAGUUAAAAAAAAAAAAAAAGCCAGUUGCAGUGACUCACGCCUGUAAUUCCAACACUUUGUGAGGCUGAGGCAGGAGAAUUGCUUGAGCUCAGGAGUUCAAGACCAGACUGGGAAACAUAGUGAGACCUUGUCUCUACAAAAAAUAAAAUGCCAGGCAUGGUGGCACUCAUCUAUAGUCCCAAUACUCGAGAGCUGAGGUGGGAGGAUUGAGCCUGUGAGAUAGACUAGGCUGCAGUGAGCCAAGAUCAUACCACUGCACUCCAGCCUGAGCAACAGAGUUGAGUGCUCUGCCAGUCCACACCAGCCUUCGUGAAUUCCGCAAUUCUUCUAGCUAAACAUAUACCAGUAUCUGGUUGUGUCUGUCCCAAGUAAGCUAGUGCCCUUCUCUUCCUGCAGGCAUCUGUUGCUUCUUAGAUUUUGGACCAGUUUUUUGUCCUGGGAACUCAACUCUUCGAUAAAUUCAAAAAUACUCUGUAAUUUGAAGGAAGUUUACCUUUUUUUUCAUUGUAAGGGUGGAAGAAAUGUCUCUUCUGGAUGUUUAUAUCCAAAACAAGCUGGAAAUCAGCCCUGGCUAACUUUUUUUUUUUUUUUGAGACGGAAUCUCACCCUGUCGCCCAGGCUGGAGUGCAGUGGCACAGUCUCGACUCACUGCAACCUCUACCUCCCAGGUUUAAGCGAUUCUCCCACCUCAGCCUCCCGGGUAGCUGGGACUACAGGCGUGCGCCACCACGCCCAGCUAUUCUUUUGUAUUUUUAGUAGAGAUGGGUUUUCACCAGGAUGGUCUCAAUCUCUUGACCUUGUGAUCUGCCUGCAUUGGCCUCCCAAAAUGCUGGGAUUACAGGCUUGAGCCACCAUGCCCAGCCAGAGCAUCUAAUAUUUACUGAGUACUGAACAUUUACUAAAUACUUGACAUAAUGUUUUUUAAAUCCCCCAAAAGUCAUAUUCUUACAUCAUAAAUAAGGAAAAUUUCAGAUUGAAAGGAUUCAAAGAGGGUUAAACGAGAUCACAAAAAAAAGCCACAGCUGGGUACAUUACUGUGAAAUUAAACAUCAUCAGAGAGAAACAAUAGAUAUAGAUCUUUUCAGCUUAUCUAUUUCUUACUAAAAAAGAGUAAGUUUUGUAGUUUAUGCCUUUCAGAGAAUUUCUCUAUUUUGUCUCCAUUGUCAAAUUUAUUGUCAUAAAAUUGUUCAUAAUUUUUUUUUUGAGAUGGAGUCUGGCUCCGUCGCCCAGGCUGGAGUGCAGUGGCAUGAUCUCAGCUUGCUACACAACCUCCACCUCCCAGGUUCAAGGAAUUCUUGUGCCUCAGCCUCCGGAGUAGCUGGGAUUACAGGCGCCUGCCACCACACCUGGCUAAUUUUUGUAUUUUUAGUAGAGACAGAGUUUCAC